rnacentral:rRNA from 1 species
GACGAACGCUGGCGGCGUGCCUAAUACAUGCAAGUAGAACGCUGAAGGAGGAGCUUGCUCUUCUGGAUGAGUUGCGAACGGGUGAGUAACGCGUAGGUAACCUGCCUGGUAGCGGGGGAUAACUAUUGGAAACGAUAGCUAAUACCGCAUAACAGUAGAUGUUGCAUGACAUUUGCUUAAAAGGUGCAAUUGCACCACUACCAGAUGGACCUGCGUUGUAUUAGCUAGUUGGUGGGGUAACGGCUCACCAAGGCGACGAUACAUAGCCGACCUGAGAGGGGGAUCGGCCACACUGGGACUGAGACACGGCCCAGACUCCUACGGGAGGCAGCAGUAGGGAAUCUUCGGCAAUGGACGGAAGUCUGACCGAGCAACGCCGCGUGAGUGAAGAAGGUUUUCGGAUCGUAAAGCUCUGUUGUAAGAGAAGAACGAGUGUGAGAGUGGAAAGUUCACACUGUGACGGUAUCUUACCAGAAAGGGACGGCUAACUACGUG